UACGAAGGGGGCUAGCGUUGUUCGGAAUCACUGGGCGUAAAGGGCGCGUAGGCGGCUUGAUAAGUCGGGGGGUGAAAGCCUGUGGCUCAACCACAGAAUUGCCUUCGAUACUGUCGAGCUUGAGACCGGAAGAGGUAAGUGGAACUGCGAGUGUAGAGGUGAAAUUCGUAGAUAUUCGCAAGAACACCAGUGGCGAAGGCGGCUUACUGGUCCGGUUCUGACGCUGAGGCGCGAAAGCGUGGGGGAGCAAACAGG
rnacentral:rRNA from 1 species